rnacentral:rRNA from 1 species
CCUACGGGAGGCAGCAGUGGGGAAUCUUGCGCAAUGGGCGAAAGCCUGACGCAGCGACGCCGCGUGGGGGAAGAAGGCCUUAGGGUUGUAAACCUCUUUCAGGUGGGACGAAGCCACUCGGGUUAAUAGCCCAGAGGGUGACGGUACCGCCAGAAGAAGCCCCGGCUAACUACGUGCCAGCAGCCGCGGUAAUACGUAGGGGGCAAGCGUUGUCCGGAUUUAUUGGGCGUAAAGAGCGUGUAGGCGGCUAGGUAGGUGGGUUGUGAAAACUGGAGGCUCAACCUUCAGACGUCGACCCAAACCCCCUGGCUAGAGUCCGGAAGAGGAGAGUGGAAUUCCUGGUGUAGCGGUGAAAUGCGCAGAUAUCAGGAAGAACACCCGUGGCGAAGGCGGCUCUCUGGGACGGUACUGACGCUGAGACGCGAAAGCGUGGGGAGCGAACAGGAUUAGAUACCCUGGUAGUCCACGCCGUAAACGAUGGGUGCUAGGUGUGGGGGUGUCGACUCCCCCGUGCCGAAGCUAACGCAUUAAGCACCCGCCUGGGAGUACGGCCGCAGGCUAAACUCAAAUGAAUUGACGGCUGGNGAGUUGCGACGCGACGACGAGGGAGGAGG